CAUAUGGUCAUGUAUUUCUUAUUUCUAAAUUACAGGAAUUUUCUGCUUCCCAACAUUAACUGGACUAGCUAUAUAUGCUGACUGGUCCCAUACGAGAGACUACAAAAAGAAAAGGGCAUUGCGGGCAGUACAGGCACCAACAGAGACACAGUUUCGGUGAAUUUCUAAAACAAGCCACUUCUCUUUCACAUUAUGGUCUGGACGUAUAAUCCUGGAAAACUGCCACCUGGUGGUCAUUUUGGGCCAAAAACCUUGCUUUGGUCCGUCUUCCCACUCACGGGUAUGGCUAUUGGUUACUACUUUACCCAGACGGAAAAGGCAAAGCUCAGUGAAAUGAAGAACCGGACCUCCCUCCUAGGGGACAUCGAAGGAAGGCGCAAAGCACAAGCUGAGCGAUUGAAAAGGAAGAGCAACGAGUUUGAGUAAUAAGCAUGGUGAACAUUAAUUCGCGUCGCAUUCUUGUACAUUCAGAUCAUUACACCUUAUUAAAGACCGGAAUGCUAGGUGAUGCCUAGUUUUAUGAAAGUUGGAAAAAAGCUUCGAAAUAUUGAAGGCAUGUUAUCAAAUUUAAUCCACUGAAAAUCUUUUGCUAUAGUUCAACAGUUUGAGUAGAAAGGCUUGGGUGAUAAUUGUAGCAAUGUAAAAAUUAAAAAAAAAUCUUUAAUGAGUUGCACCAAUGUUUUUGUGUAUUGUUUAUUGAAUGAGUACAAUGUUAAAGAUCUAUGAAGUUAAAUAGGCAUACAAUGUGGUUCUGUGGUCAAGAGUAUACUGUUUACAUAUUAAAAUAUCUAUGUUCCUGCUAA